rnacentral:rRNA from 1 species
UAAUACGGAGGAUGCGAGCGUUAUCCGGAUUUAUUGGGUUUAAAGGGUGCGUAGGCGGACCUGUAAGUCAGUGGUGAAAGACUGUCGCUUAACGAUAGCAUUGCCAUUGAUACUGCAGAUCUUGAGUAUAAUUGAGGUAGGCGGAAUGUGUAGUGUAGCGGUGAAAUGCUUAGAUAUUACACAGAACACCGAUUGCGAAGGCAGCUUACUAAACUAUAACUGACGCUGAGGCACGAAAGCGUGGGGAUCAAACAGG